rnacentral:rRNA from 1 species
UGGGGAAUUUUGGACAAUGGGCGCAAGCCUGAUCCAGCCAUGCCGCGUGCGGGAAGAAGGCCUUCGGGUUGUAAACCGCUUUUGUCAGGGAAGAAAUAUGCCGAGCUAAUACCUCGGCAGGAUGACGGUACCUGAAGAAUAAGCACCGGCUAACUACGUGCCAGCAGCCGCGGUAAUACGUAGGGUGCAAGCGUUAAUCGGAAUUACUGGGCGUAAAGCGUGCGCAGGCGGCCGCGCAAGACAGGUGUGAAAUCCCCGGGCUCAACCUGGGAACUGCACUUGUGACUGCGUGGCUGGAGUACGGCAGAGGGGGGAUGGAAUUCCGCGUGUAGCAGUGAAAUGCGUAGAUAUGCGGAGGAACACCGAUGGCGAAGGCAGUCCCCUGGGCCUGUACUGACGCUCAUGCACGAAAGCGUGGGGAGCAAACAGGAUUAGAUACCCGAGUAG